CCUACGGGGGGCAGCGGGGAGGAAUAUUGGUCAAUGGCCGAGAGGCUGAACCGGCCAAGUCGCGGGAGGGAAGACGGCCCUACGGGUUGUAAACCUCUUUUGUCGGGGAGCAAAGCGAACCACGUGUGGUUCAUGGAGAGUACCCGAGGAAAAAGCAUCGGCUAACUCCGUGCAAGCAGCGGCGGUAAUACGGAGGAUGCGAGCGUUAUCCGGAUUUAUUGGGUUUAAAGGGUGCGCAGGCGGAGGUGCAAGUCAGCGGUCAAAUUGCGGGGCUCAACCCCGUACUGCCGUUGAAACUGCAUCCCUUGAGUGCGCGAGAAGUAUGCGGAAUGCGUGGUGUAGCGGUGAAAUGCAUAGAUAUCACGCAGAACUCCGAUUGCGAAGGCAGCAUACCGGCGCGCAACUGACGCUCAUGCACGAAAGCGUGGGUAUCGAACAGGAUUAGAUACCCGGGUAGUC
rnacentral:rRNA from 1 species